rnacentral:rRNA from 1 species
UGGGCACUCUAGCGAAACUGCCGGUGACAAACCGGAGGAAGGUGGGGAUGACGUCAAAUCAUCAUGCCCCUUAUGACCUGGGCUACACACGUGCUACAAUGGACAGUACAAUGAGCAGCGACACGGCGACGUGAAGCGAAUCUCAUAAAGCUGUUCUCAGUUCGGAUUGUAGGCUGCAACUCGCCUACAUGAAGCCGGAAUCGCUAGUAAUCGCGGAUCAGCACGCCGCGGUGAAUACGUUCCCGGGCCUUGUACACACCGCCCGUCACACCACGAAAGUUUGUAACACCCAAAGUCGGUGAGGUAACCUUCGGGAGCCAGCCGCCUAAGGUGGGAUAGAUGAUUGGGGUGAAGUCGUAACAAGGUAACCA